rnacentral:lncRNA from 1 species
UAUUUUUUUAUUUUGAAAAAUUUGAUUUUUUUACUUUUGGAAAAAAUUCACUUAUUUUUUUGAAAAAAUCAUUUUUCUAAGAAAAAAAUAAAUUUUUUGUACUUUUAAUGAAAAAAAAUCAGUAUUUUUUCGAGAAAAAUCAUUUUUUUUCGGAAAAAAACAUAUUUUUGUAUUUUUGGAAAAAAAAAUAAUUUAAAAACAUUUAUUUUUAUUUAUGAAUUUU